rnacentral:rRNA from 1 species
CCUACGGGAGGCAGCAGUGGGGGAUAUUGCACAAUGGGGGGAACCCUGAUGCAGCGACGCCGCGUGAGGGAAGAAGGCUUUCGGGUUGUAAACUUCUUUCGUCAGGGAAGAGUAGAAGACGGUACCUGACGAAUAAGCCACGGCCAACUACGUGCCAGCAGCCGCGGUAAUACGUAGGUGGCAAGCGUUGUCCGGAUGUACUGGGUGUAAAGGGCGGGUAGCCGGGUUGACAAGUCAGAUGUGAAAUCCUGCGGCUUAACCGCAGAACUGCAUUUGAAACUGUUGAUCUUGAGUACUGGAGAGGCAGACGGAAUUCCUAGUGUAGCGGUGAAAUGCGUAGAUAGUAGGAGGAACACCAGUGGCGAAGGCGGUCUGCUGGACAGCAACUGACGGUGAGGCGCGAAAGCGUGGGGAGCAAACAGGAUUAGAUACCCGAGUAGUC